UAAGGAAUAUUGGUCAAUGGACGCAAGUCUGAACCAGCCAUGCCGCGUGAAGGAUGAAGGUCCUCUGGAUUGUAAACUUCUUUUAUCUGAGACGAAAACGGGAUUUUUAUCUCAAUUGACGGUACCAGAGGAAUAAGCACCGGCUAACUCCGUGCCAGCAGCCGCGGUAAUCCGGAGGGUGCGAGCGUUAUCCGGAUUUACUGGGUUUCAAGGGUGCGUAGGUGGGCUUAUAAGUCAGUGGUGAAAUCUCCGGGCUUAACUUGGAAACUGCCGUUGAUACUAUAGGUCCUGAAUUAUCUGGAGGUAAGCGGAAUAUGUCAUGUAGCGGUGAAAUGCUUAGAUAUGACAUAGAACACCAAUUGCGAAGGCAGCUUACUACAUAUAAAUUGACGCUGAGGCACGAAAGCGUGGGGAACAAACA
rnacentral:rRNA from 1 species